AGUCACCAUACCCAUAAUUAGAUCUCCAAAAAUUAUUCAUUCUGCAUAACUGAAAGUUUCUGUCCUUUGACCAACAUCUCCCCAU